GCUGGGCGUGGUGGUGCCUGCCUAUAAUCCCAGCAGCUCUGGAGGCUGAGACAGGAGGAUCACGAGUUCAAAGCCAGGCUCAGCAAUGGUGAGGGCUAAGACACUCAGUAAGGCCCUGUCUCUA
rnacentral:sRNA from 1 species